UUAAAAGGAGAUCAAGCUCUAAAAAAUGGUAAAUCUGAUUAUGGUGCUCUGACCAAACCUGCAUUGCAAAUACCCCCAACAGAUGGUAGCUGGAAUAUCAACCAUGGCAAAACGUUUUUGUUAAAAUUAAUUUGGAUGUCUAAUUUGGUUUUUAGAUGCUGAAUUUGUUCAUGCGUUGGAAUAUCCAAUGAUACAUUUUUUUAAAACUUGUACCACUGUACUAAAGAAUGAUAUCA
rnacentral:misc_RNA from 1 species